AAAUAUGCAUGACAAGACCACAGCACCGCAAGACAGCCUCAUGGUCUCAGAACAAGAGCAGAUAUUUCUCUGUCUUCUGUAGUGUAAGAAGUUAAUGCAUGAAGAGAAUGAGCAGACUAGAGGAAGCGAAGGGCCGAAUCACAGUGGUGGUGAAGGUUUAAAUGGUGGAUCUACUCUGAGAUGAAGAUUCAUAAAUACACAGUCAUCGUCAUCAUCUUUAGCCUUUUCUGUCCUAUCACAGGUGUUACUGUCACCGAGAGGUCUGUGCAGGAGGGCGAGACGUUCAUCUUCCAUCUGCCGAAUAUAGAGUCUGGCAGAUCAGUCGAAUGGAAACAGAUGAAUAAACUGCUGGCCAUCAUUAGCCUGGACAACAACACAGUAAUAUUUCAGCAGGGACGCAGACAUCAGUUCAUGCAGAAUGGGUCAGUCGUCAUCAGAGAUGUCAAACAGGAAGACACCGGCAACUACACUUACAAUAUCAUAUUCAAAGACAAAAAAAUUCAAAGCCACAUCCUCUCACUUACCCUGUACUCAGAAACUACAGAACAGAGCCCUACUUAUAACUCCACAUUCAUUACAUCAGGGUCACGGGGAGACUGGAGCCUGUCCCAGGGGAUUUGGGACACCCUGGAUGGGGUGCCAACCCAUUACAGGGCACAAUCCCGCACACAUUUACA
ensembl:lncRNA